AUUGAACGCUGGCGGCAUGCUUUACACAUGCAAGUCGAACGGUAACAGGCCUUCGGGUGCUGACGAGUGGCGAACGGGUGAGUAAUGCAUCGGAACGUACCCAGAGGUGGGGGAUAACGCAGCGAAAGCUGUGCUAAUACCGCAUGUGAUCUGAGGAUGAAAGCGGGGGACCGAGCAGCAAUGUUUGGCCUCGCGCCUUUGGAGCGGCCGAUGUCGGAUUAGCUAGUUGGUGGGGUAAAGGCCUACCAAGGCGACGAUCCGUAGCUGGUCUGAGAGGACGACCAGCCACACUGGUACUGAGACACGGCCCAGACUCCUACGGGAGGCAGCAAUGGGGAAUUUUGGACAAUGGGCGCAAGCCUGAUCCAGCAAUGCCGCGUGCGGGAAGAAGGCCUUCGGGUUGUAAACCGCUUUUGGCAGGAACGAAACGGUGUCCGCUAAUACCGGGCGCUAAUGACGGUACCUGCAGAAUAAGCACCGGCUAACUACGUG
rnacentral:rRNA from 1 species